CUUCUGUCAGGAUGGACCAUUACUUCUCAAACUUUUUGUGGGUAGCAAAACCAAAGCGGUUUACUGAAACCUAGAAAAAUAAAACCUGCUAAUUGUUGAGAGACCAAGUAAUUUAGUAAAUGUUUAAAUAGCCUUGUGCCAUGCAGGUGGACACCAUGGAGUGGUGGGGAUGGUUUUAUUCACUCUCCGCCACUUUGAUCGCCAAUGACUUGUCCAGAUGCUGCUGUACCACUACAGAUCCAUGUUGCCAAGUUGGAAAGCUGGAAUGAAGACAUAAAAGGAAAAAGAGAAAAAAC